CCUACGGGGGGCAGCAGUGGGGAAUAUUGGACAAUGGGGGGAACCCUGAUCCAGCCAUGCCGCGUGUGUGAAGAAGGCCCUCGGGUUGUAAAGCACUUUCAGUGAGGAAGAACGCCUGGUGGUUAAUACCCAUCAGGAAAGACAUCACUCACAGAAGAAGCACCGGCUAACUCCGUGCCAGCAGCCGCGGUAAUACGGAGGGUGCGAGUGUUAAUCGGAAUUACUGGGCGUAAAGCGCGCGUAGGUGGCUUGAUAAGCCGGUUGUGAAAGCCCCGGGCUCAACCUGGGAACGGCAUCCGGAACUGUCAAGCUAGAGUGCAGGAGAGGAAGGUAGAAUUCCCGGUGUAGCGGUGAAAUGCGUAGAGAUCGGGAGGAAUACCAGUGGCGAAGGCGGCCUUCUGGACUGACACUGACACUGAGGUGCGAAAGCGUGGGUAGCAAACAGGAUUAGAUACCCCUGUAGUC
rnacentral:rRNA from 1 species